rnacentral:rRNA from 1 species
GACAGAGGGUGCAAACGUUGUUCGGAAUUACUGGGCGUAAAGCGUGCGCAGGCGGUUGUGUAAGACAGAUGUGAAAUCCCCGGGCUUAACCUGGGAACUGCAUUUGUGACUGCACGGCCGGAGUGCGGCAGAGGGGGAUGGAAUUCCGCGUGUAGCAGUGAAAUGCGUAGAGAUGCGGAGGAACACCGAUGGCGAAGGCAGCCCCCUGGGCUGACACUGACGCUCAGGCACGAAAGCGUGGGGAGCAAACAGG